rnacentral:tRNA from 1 species
GGGCCCGUAGCUCAGCCUGGUAGAGCGGCGGGCUCUUAGGGGCGGUUGCCGCCCGUGGAAACCCGUAGGUCGUGGGUUCGAAUCCCACCGGGCCCGCUA